AACGAACGCUGGCGGCAUGCCUAACACAUGCAAGUCGAACGAGACCUUCGUGUCUAGUGGCGCUCGGGGGCGUAACGCGUGGGAACCUGCCCUUAGGUUCGGAAUAACUCCCCGAAAGGGGUGCUAAUACCGGAUAAUGUCUUCGGACCAAAGAUUUAUCGCCUUUGGAUGGGCCCGCGUUGGAUUAGCUAGUUGGUAGGGUAAAAGCCUACCAAGGCGACGAUCGAUAGCUGGUCGGAGAGGAUGAUCCGCCACACUGGCGCUAAGACACGGCCCAGACUCCUACGCGAGGCAGCAGUGGGGAAUAUUGGCCAAUGGGGGAAAGCCUGAUCCAGCAAUGCCGCGUAAGUGAUGAAGGCCUUAGGGAUGUAAAGCUCUUUUACACGGGAUGAUAAUGACAGUACCGGGAGAAUAAGCUCCGGCUAACUCCGUG
rnacentral:rRNA from 1 species